UACGUAGGGGGCAAGCGUUGUCCGGAUUUAUUGGGCGUAAAGAGCGUGUAGGCGGCCAGACAGGUCAGCUGUGAAAACUCGAGGCUCAACCUCGAGACGUCGGUUGAAACCGUCUGGCUAGAGUCCGGAAGAGGAGAGUGGAAUUCCCGGUGUAGCGGUGAAAUGCGCAGAUAUCGGGAAGAACACCCGUGGCGAAGGCGGCUCUCUGGGACGGUACUGACGUUGAGACGCGAAAGCGUGGGGAGCGAACAGG
rnacentral:rRNA from 1 species